rnacentral:rRNA from 1 species
UACGAAGGGGGCUAGCGUUGCUCGGAAUCACUGGGCGUAAAGCGCACGUAGGCGGAUCUUUAAGUCAGGGGUGAAAUCCCAAGGCUCAACCUUGGAACUGCCUUUGAUACUGGGGAUCUCGAGUUCGGGAGAGGUGAGUGGAACUGCGAGUGUAGAGGUGAAAUUCGUAGAUAUUCGCAAGAACACCAGUGGCGAAGGCGGCUCACUGGCCCGAUACUGACGCUGAGGUGCGAAAGCGAGGGGAGCAAACAGGG